rnacentral:rRNA from 1 species
CACGUAGGGUGCGAGCGUUGUCCGGAAUUAUUGGGCGUAAAGAGCUCGUAGGCGGUGUGUCGCGUCGGCCGUGAAAACUUGCAGCUUAACUGUGGGCGUGCGGUCGAUACGGGCAUCACUGGAGUUCGGCAGGGGAGACUGGAAUUCCUGGUGUAGCGGUGAAAUGCGCAGAUAUCAGGAAGAACACCCGUGGCGAAGGCGGCUCUCUGGGACGGUACUGACGCUGAGACGCGAAAGCGUGGGGAGCGAACAGG